rnacentral:tRNA from 1 species
GGGGAUUUAGCUCAGUAGCACAGCAUUUGCCUAACAAGCAUAAAGCCCUAGGUUCAAUCUCCA